GUCUUUUACAUCCAGAGAUAGCUCAGUUGGUAGAGCACAAUACUCUUAAAUCUCAGGGUCAUGGGUUUGAGCCCCGUGUCAGGCAAAAGAUU